GAUGAACGCUGGCGGCGCGCCUAACACAUGCAAGUCGAACGGAGAACAUUUAGCAAUAGAUGUUCUUAGUGGCGGACGGGUGAGUAACGCGUGAGGAACCUGCCUUUCGGAGGGGAAUAACACAUCGAAAGAUGUGCUAAUACCGCAUAACGUCAUUGGGUGGCAUCAUCCGAUGACCAAAAGAGCAAUCUGCCGAAAGAUGGCCUCGCGUCCGAUUAGAUAGUUGGUGAGGUAACGGCCCACCCAAGUCUGCGAUCGGUAGCCGGACUGAGAGGUUGAACGGCCACAUUGGGACGGAGACACGGCCCAGACUCCUACGGGAGGCAGCAGUGGGGGAUAUUAGUCAAUGGAGGAAACUCUGAACUAGCGACGCCGCGUGAGGGAAGAAGGUCUUCGGAUUGUAAACCUCUGUCUUCGGGGAAGAUAAUGACGGUACCCGAGGAGGAAGCUCCGGCUAACUACGUG
rnacentral:rRNA from 1 species